rnacentral:other from 1 species
GGUUCCCUGGGGUGUGCGAGAGCUCGUCUUGUGAUUGAUCCAACAUCGUCACGAGAGGGAGCCGAGCUCCGAGCCGCUUUUGUGCAAGCCCUCCAUUUGAGAGGGAAGCCUUCCGGCGGCCGGGCCAGCACCCACCUGCAGAGUGCGGGUCGAAAUCUCCGGCGGGUAACGGCACUUUGGGGAAAAG